rnacentral:rRNA from 1 species
UUUUUUGAGAGUUUGAUCCUGGCUCAGGAUGAACGCUGGCGGCGUGCCUUAAGCAUGCAAGUCGAACGGUUGUGCGAGGCAUUUUGCCUCGCAGUCUUUGGUCUUUGGUCUUUGGUCUUUGGCUACAAGGAAAUGUUAUAAAAAUUUCUUAUUGCUAAUGACUAAUGACCAAUGGCUAAUUGCUGCGAAGCAGUAUGCUUCGCAUGACAGUGGCAGACGGGUGAGUAACGCGUAGGAAUCUACCUCUAGGUAGAGGAUAGCCCCGCGAAAGCGGGGGUAAUACUUUAUGGUCUCGUAAGAGUAAAGGACUUAACUGUCCGCCAAGAGAGGAGCCUGCGUCCUAUCAGCUAGUUGGUGAGGUAAUGGCUCACCAAGGCUAUGACGGGUAGCUGGACUGAGAGGUUGGUCAGCCACAACUGCACUGAGAUACGGGCAGUACACCUACGGGUGGCAGCAACUAGGAAUAUUGCGCAAUGGACGAAAGUCUGACGCAGCGACGCCGCGUGGAGGAUGAAGGCCUUAGGGUCGUAAACUCCUUUUGCCAAGCCGUUCACAGCUUGGAGAAUAAGCCCCUACUAACUACGUGCCAGAAGUCUCGGUAAUACGUAGGGGGCAAGCGUUAUCCGGAUUCAUUGGGCGUAAAGUGUGCGUAGGCGGUUUGGAAAGUCCCGGUUUAAAGACUACGGCUUAACCGUAGUAAUGGUUGGGAUACUCCCAGACUUGAGGAUUAGUGAGGAUGUUGGAACGGCCGGUGUAGCGGUGAAAUGCAUUGAUAUCGGCUGGAACACCAAGGGCGAAGGCAAGCAUCUAUACUUUUCCUGACGCUGAGGCACGAAAGCUAGGGUAGCGAAACAGAUUAGAUACCUGUGUAGUCCUAGCCGUAAACUAUGUCCGUUAGCUCUCACUCGCAAAGUCUGAUGACUUUGCUAGUCAUCAAGUUAUAAGGUCAUCAAGUCAUAAAGCCAUAAAGCAGACUUGAAGACAUUCGACUUGAAGACUUUUUACUAGCAAAAUCGUAGAUUUUGUGAGUGGGGGCGUAAGCUAACGCGUUAAACGGACCGCCUGGGGAGUACGACCGCAAGGUUAAAACUCAAAGGAAUUGACGGGGACCCGCACAACCAGUGGAGCGUGUGGUUUAAUUCGAGACAAAACGAAGGACCUCACCAGGGUUUGAAAUGUUAGAGUUCUAUUUUACAGAAAUGUAGAAAAUCCGUAAGGAGGCUAGCAUAGGUGCUGCAUGGCUGUCGUCAGCUCGUGCCGUGAGGUGUUCCCUUAAGUGGGGAAACGAGCGCAACCCCCGCCUAAUGUUAAAUAUUCAUUAGGGACCGCCCCACACUCAAGUACAUAAAAAUUAUGUUUUUGAGUGUGGGGAGGAAGGAGGGGUAGACGUCAAGUCAGCACGGCCCUUAUGCCCUGGGCAACACACACACUACAAUGGCGAAUAACAAUGGGCAGCAAGCUGGUAACAGUAAGCAAAUCCCUGAAAUUUCGUCUCAGUUCAGAUUGAGGGCUGCAACUCGCCCUCAUGAAGUCGGAAUUGGUAGUAAUCGCGGAUCAGCAUGCCGCGGUGAAUACGUUCUCGGGUCUUGUACACACCGCCCGUCAAGGCAGCAAAGUUGGGAAUGGAUGAAGCUCCGGCGUAGCCGGAUCGAGUCCAAGCUUAGCGAUGAAGCUUAAGUCGUAACAAGGUAUCCCUAGCCGAAGCUGGGGAUGGAUCACCUCCUUU